rnacentral:tRNA from 1 species
AGGCGCGUAGCUCAGUGGCAGAGCGCUGCCUUUACACGGCAGAGGUCGGAGGUUCGAAUCCUGCCCGCGCCUACCA